rnacentral:lncRNA from 1 species
AAGAGCAAGAGAUUUUGGGAAACAACAUACUUCAAGUUUAUGCCUAUGACACGAUUACAGGUAAGUGGAAUGAUUCUUCAACAUCCAUUAUAUGUUUUACCAGUAAUUAAUUGACCUGAUGACUUUGAUUCAAAAUUUUAUGUGAAUAACUACUAGUAUAUCUUUUGAUUGUAAUAAGAUAGGUAAAAUUGAAUAUUUCAUAUGUAUAGACUCUGUAAAAGUGGAAGGGGGGGAUGGAAUUCAUUAGAUUGAAUAAGUUGAUCACAUCUCUCUUACAUCUUGAGAGGCCUAGUUUAGUCCAUUAUAUUGUUGGGACAUUUGGUUAUAGAAAUUUGUUGGAAAUGAAGGCACUUUUGAAAGAGUAGCAUGCCAAUUACUGCAAAAAAAAUGUGCCCUAACAUCUAUGAUAAGCGUACUGGGGAGAUGUGAUUAGACAGAACAUGGUGCAGCUUCAGCUUAUCAAGGAUAUGACCUUAAAUCAGAGGGUGUAGAAGUCAUGGAUUAGGGUAGAAGGUUAGUAGGUAGUGUAGUGUUCUCUUGCUUCGGAAGGGUUUAGGCUUAGUGGUGUACGGUGUCUGUCGUAGUAUUUGUUUUAUUCUUGUAAUGUCUUGCUUUUGCUUUCUAUCACCAUCUGUUUUUGUUAUGGUGUUUCAAUUAUUGCAUUAUUUUGUUCUUAUUACUGUUUUCUUCCGUAUUAGUUGCUUCACUGUAUAUAUAUGUCCUAUCGAGGAAGAUGCAAAGGAAGAAGUAUAUAUAUGUCCUAUCGAGGAAGAUGCAAAGGAAGAAGUAUAUAUAUGUCCUACCGAGGAAGAUGCAAAGGAAGAAGUAUAUAUAUGUCCUACUCUCUUAAAAAUAUGUGCAGAAGUAUAUAUAUGUCCUACCGAGGAAGAUGCCAAGGAAGAAGUAUAUACAUGUCCUACCGAGGAAGAUGCAAAGGAAGAAGUAUAUGAUAGAAGCUAUUUUGGUUUACUUAAAAACUGGUUGCGGAAGAUGAUUGUUCGAGGAAGAUGCAAAGGAAGAAGUAUAUAUAUGUCCUACCGAGGAAGAUGCAAAGGAAGAAGCUGGUGAUAGAAGCUAUUUUGGUUUACUUAAAAACUGGUUGCGGAAGAUGAUUGUGUCAUUGUGUGAAAAUGAGUUUUAAGCAAGACUCGUGAAGUCAAGGACAUUCAACAUCUACUAUAUCCAUCAAAAAUAAGUUUCAACUUCAUAUAUACCGUGUAAGUCUCCAUCGGAACAGGUUUGGUUGAACUCCCUUACUCUGGCAUCGCUCCUUGUGGGAUUACACUUGGAUUGUUAUUAUUGUUCUUGUUCUUGUAUCUCAUAAAAUGGGGUUGAUUUUAUCAUCAAUACUCAAACUAGAAUAUGUAAUAGUUCAUUUGUACUUUUAUCCCUAUUUUGUGAUGCUCUUUGAGCAAAUAAUUUUUUUGUGAGAUAUAAGUUUAUAUUUUCAUAUGAUAAUAUUCUACAAGUAAUUAUUGUUUUGUACUCUUAAAGUACAUAUGUAAGCUAAGUAUAAGUUCGAUUGCUAAGGAUAAAUUAAAAGACGAAGGGAAAAUGGUGUUAUUUCUUCUCAUUAAUUACCAUUUUUAGUUGAUUCAUUAGCUCUUGUGAAAAAUUGGUCUAGUAAUUUGAUUUUUCUUGACCCAUUUUUUGUUAAAACUACAACACACGUACAUUAUCCUACAACAAAUGAACCAAAAUUUUCUUUCUGUUAUCUUGUUUUUGUGUCACUUUCAAAUGUUAUUAUAAGAUCAUAUUUAUUAAAAAAAAAAAUGAUUUCAAAUGUAUUAUUAUAACUCGCUUCGGGUUAUAGUUUAGGGCUCAAUUGUUUGCCGUUAAUAAACUGAAUGGUUUAGAUCUUAGGUUAUUAAGUGCAUUUGUUUUGAAUAAGUUAUCAUUGAAGUAUUGAGUGAAGGCUUAAUAUUAUUAAGACUAUGUCUGAGUGAAUAAUUUUCAUAUCACUCUAUUCAUAAUUUCUAACCACCAUCAUUACCAUUUCUGACAUCACAAUUAUCACCAUUAUUAUUCGACCAUCAUUUACGUCGCUAACUAUCAGCCGCCACACCAACCAACAUAGCCAUCAGACCGUCACGGGCAACCACUUCUUAGGUGUAACUGUGAUAUCUUCCCUUACUUUGUUAAUAGUAUAAAAGCAGUUGUUCUCUGAUGGACGUAGGAUCACAUUGAUCUGAACCACGUUAACUCUUAUGUUUUUUCUUUUACUUCUCCGCUAACAACCAGCUCCUCUUUUCUUUGGGGCUGUGUAAGGGUGUGUAAACUUUUCAGAAGCUGACCAGGUCAAAGAAAACUCAGUAGCCAUUAGAAAUGGCUAGUUGAUUUCAAAUAGUUAUAUAAUAUGCCAGUUGACUUUCCAGCUUUAUUAGAAAAUGGCUAGUUGUAUGUAAUGAUAGUGCUGUCCAAUUCAAGCAACUCCUUAAUUAAUGCUACAAUUUGGUACUAGUGAAAUCUUCUGAUUGUUUAGUGUUUGAAAACCAUUUGACUUAACAAAUUUCAAAUCAGUAGGCUGACUAUUACCUUGUUGUAAAAUGCAAUUUCCAAUAUAGAUCUGUUCUAGGAAACUUCGAGCAAUUACUAGUAUUUAAUACCCUGACCAGCUCAGUUGAUAUAGUGAUAUACUUGUAAAUCGAAUUUCUUCAUUCACAAAUCUUGUAUAGAAUUAGAAUAGGAGAUGGCUGUUUAUGCUGCUGUUACUUCUCUGAUGGGAACAAUGCACCUGAUUUCGCAAUCCAGCUUAGACUUUCAGGAAAGUAACAAAGAAUGUUCGAAAUCACUCUACGAGAAGGUUGGUUCUCUGUUAGAGUUUCUUGAUAAUGCAGAAUUAGCAGAUCGCUUACAAAAAAGUUUCAAGGGUAAAAGGUAUUUGAUCGUUGUGGAUGACAUAUGGAGCAGGGAAACCUAGGAUGAGAUUAGACUAUGGUUCCCAGAAAACAAUAAUACAAGUCGAAUAUUGCUGACUACUCGGAUCAUGGAGGUUGCUCGAUAUGCUAGCUAUCCUAAGAAUCCUUUUCCAAUGUGUCCCCUGGAACCAAAGGAAAGUUGGGAUUUGUUUUGCCAAAAGGCGUUUGGCGAAAAAGAUUGUCCAACCAAAUUUCAAACUUCCGCAAAGGUAAUUGUUGAAAAUUGCAAAGGAUUACCACUAAUACUUUCGGUGGUUGCAGGGACACUCUCUAGCAAAAGGACACUGGACGAGUGGAAUCAAGUAGCUCAAGGUGUGAGCUCAUUAGUAAACGUUGAUGAUUAUCAGCAUUGCUCAAGAGUUCUCGCUUUGAGCUACAAUUAUCUUCCUUCACAUUUGAAAGCUUGCUUUCUAUAUUUCGGAGUUUUCACAAAAGCUAGUGAGAUUUCUGUGAAAAAGUUGAUCAGAUUAUGGAUUGCAGAAGGACUUUUUGAGCUAAGAGGACGACUCAGGGAUUUGGAAGAAGUGGCUGAUAGUCUUCUACAUGAUCUUAUUGAUAAAAGUCUAGUCAUGGUUAGCAAGCGAAGCUUGGAUGGUAAAAUCAAGACAUGUAAGAUUCAUGAUCUUCUCCAUGAUUUAUGCUUGAUAGAAUCUGAAAGUGAGAAUCUUUUAUAUGUUUCUAAUUCCAAAACAGUUGUUCCUCAAGAUCAUCGAUGGGUUUCAGUUCAUUCAGAUCGAGGUUUUAUUUCUCCAUUUGGUACUUAUAACAAAACACGUUCUGUUCAUUUACCUUAUGGAAUACUGGAAUUCAAUAUUCUUAAAUUAGGACUAGACCAUUUCAAACUACUUAGAGUAUUAAACGUGGCGAGAGUGAAGUUGAUAUCUUUCCCUAGUGAAUUAUCAAACUUAGUCGCUUUAAGAUAUUUUUCUAUGAUGGUUUAUGGGAGAAUUGAAUAUCUACCAAUUUACAAGCUUUUGAAUUUACAAACUUUUAUUUUUCUUCUAGACUCUAGAUACAGUAUUACUGUACAAUUACCAAAUGGAAUCUGGAAAAUGUCUCAAUUGAGGCACCUCCACUGUAGAAGCAUUUAUUUUUUGAGUUCUCCUCCAAACAAGUAUCGGGUUUUGGAAAACUUGCGAAGUGUUUCUGGGUUGAAUCCUUCUUGUUGCACAAAAGAAAUAUUCCAAGGGAUUAAGAAAGUGAAACAGUUGGGUAUCAGUAACUUACCUUGUUCCAACAAACAGAAUAAACACAGCUCAAAGAAAUGAAUUUUAAUUAGACCUUUGUGCUGAUAACAUGUUAUAAAAUCAAACUCAAAACAAUAUAAUUAUAAAGAGAAGAAGACAAAAUAAGUAGAUGAAGGAGAAGAUUUUUCUUCUUAUUCAAGUGUGUCCUCCAAAUGAUGAAUGAUAUCUCUAUUUAUAGUGUUGAUAUAUCACUUCCAAAGAUCUCCUGGUUAAAUGCCAAACUAGUAGAUACAUAGUUAUCCACCUAGGUUCAUAUCACCUUGGAAUUAUACAUACAUGAAUUCAAUUAAUUCUUGAAGAAAUCAAAUGGAUAUUCCACUGCUCAAUGAAUUUAUAACAUAAAAAAAUGUGAACCAUUUUGUUCUAAUUUUAUAAAAAUAAUUCCAUCAAACAUAAUAUAUUUGACAUAAAUUUAUAUAUAUAUCCUUCUGGAUGUUCAUGACUAAUUAAUUUGAUAUUUCAAUGAUGAGCUUCCAUGAUUACCAUUGUCCCAUUUGUCGAGUUAUUUGCAGAUCAGAAAUACAUCUUUCUCUCAUUGAACAAUUAGUUGGACGCUAUAGAAUGGAGUUAUUUGAAAUCCACCCAAUUGCCCCAUUCUAUCUACAAAACUAAAAGGAUUUUUAUUUUUAAUAAAUUUAAAGAAGUACAUCAUUUAUUCUAUCCGUAAAUUUAAAGAAGUACAUCAUUUAAUAAAUUUAAAGAAGUAAAUAUCCUGCAAUCUAAAUUUGUUUACAGAAGGGUAAUUAAAAUGAUUUACAACAAACAUUCAACACCCAUUAUAUGUUUGACUUUUCGUUGUGUUAAACCAGUGGAUGCAUGUAAUUGGUCAUGUUAGUGCCUAUAAGGCAAUGGUGGAUGUAGGAACACUUUGAGCUGAACCACGUUAAAUCUUGUGUUUUUUCUUUUACGUUUCCGCUAAUGACAAGCUCCUCUUUUCUUUGGGGCUGUACUGUAAGGGUGCAUAAACUUUUCAGAAGCUGACCAGGUCAAUCAAGACUCAGUUGCUUGAACAAGAUUGUUUUUUUCCUUAAAAUAAUCAAGUCGGCACUAUUAGAAAUGGCUAGUUGAUUCCUAAUAGUAAUAUAAUAUGGUAGUUGACUUUCCAGCUUUAUUAGAAAAUGGCUAGUUGUAUGCAAUCAAAAUUAGCAUAUGUAAUGAUAGUGACUGUCCAACCCAAGCAUAUGUAAUUGUUGAGUGUUCUGUUGACAAAUUGACUUGGAAAUUUCAAUUAAGUAGGCUGACAUUGUUGAUAAUUUCACUGCUCCAUUGUAAAACAACUAAUCAUCAAAUCAUAAAAUCGUUGUAAAAGUAAAGUUGAGAGAGCAAUUCUCUUAGGUGUAACUGGGAUAUCUUCCCUUUCUUUGUUAAUAAUAUAAAGGCAGGACGUAGGAUCACUUUGAUCCGAACUACAUUAACUCUUGUAUUUUCUCCUUUACUUUUCCACUAACAACCAGCUCCUCUUUUCUUUGGGGCUGUGUAAGGGUGCGUAAACUUUUCAGAAGCUGACCAAGUCAAAGAAGACUCAGUAGCACUAUAGAAAUGGCUAGUUGUAUGCAAUCAAAAUCAGCAUACGCAACGAUAGUACCUAUCUAACUCUAACAACUAUACAAUUUGGUACUAGUGAAAUCUUUUAUUGUUGAGUGUUUGGUAAACCAAUUGACUUAAUAAAUUUCAAAUCAGUAGGCUGACAAUUACCUUGUUAAAAAAUGCAAUUUGCAAUUAUUGAGAGGAAUAAAAUAAUAGUAACUUUAUGAAAAUUUUAAAAAUAUGACUUUCCGGGUCAUUACAGGCUCCUCUUUUCUUUGGGGCUGCGUAAACUUUUCAGAAGCUGACUAGGCCAAAGAAGACUCGGUCCAAUUAUUAGAAAAUGGCUGCAAUUUGCAGAUACAUUCUAGGAGCAAUUACUAGUAUUUAAUACCCUGACCAGCAGCUCAGUUGAUAUACUUGUAAAUCAAAUCUCUUCAUUCACAAAUCGAAUCGGAGAUGGCUGUUUAUGCUGCUGUAACUUCUCUGAUGGGAACAGUGCACCUGAUUUCGCAAUCCAGCUUAGACCUUCAGGAGGGUAACAAAGAACAUUUGGAAUCACUCUACGACAAGGUUGGUUCUCUACUAGAGUUUCUUGACAAUUCUGAUAAUGAACUGCAGAAAAAGGUGAAAGAUCUAGCAAACGAAGUAGAGGAUGAAGUCGAAUCGGAGAUGGCUGUUUAUGCUGCUGUAACGUCUCUGAUGGGAACAAUGCACCUUCUUUCGCAAUCCAGCUUAGACCUUCAGGAGGGUAACAAAAAACAUUUGAAAUCACUCUACGACAAGUUUGGUUCUCUACUAGAGAUUCUUGACAAUUCUGAUAAUGAACUGCAGAAAAAGGUGAAAGAUCUAGCAAACGAAGUAGAGGAUGAAGUCAAACCACAAGUUGUGCGGAUUAUGGAGAAAAAAGAGGCAAAUGAAAGGCUUCGUAAGAUUUUGGAACAAGCUAUAAAAGACAUCGCAAACGAAGUAGAGGAUGAAGUCGAAUCGCAAGCUUUGCGGAUUAUGGAGAAGGAAGAACAUAUUCGAACAGAGGCAAAUAAGAGGCUUCUUAUAAUCUUGAAACAAGCUAUAGAAGACAUCGAUUCUGUGAAGGAAGAGCUCAGCAAGCCGAGGAAGAAUAACAAGCUGCAAGCUGGAAAUGGUUCGGUUGGUGGUACUUGUUCACCACGAUCGCUUGUUUCAACCCUUGAGAAUGACAUGGUGGGGCACAGCGAUGAGCAAGACAUGGUGGGGCACAGCGAUGAGCAAGACAUGGUGGGGCACAGCGAUGAACAAGAGAGAGUGCGGGGUGAGCUUACCGGGGACUCAUCUCAACUGGAAGUCAUCUCCAUUACUGGGAUGGGAGGCAUAGGCAAGUCAACUUUUGCCAAAAAGAUGUUUUCCGAUCCCUCAAUUGUGGGAUUCUUCAAUGUUUGUGGAUGGAUUACUGUGUCCAAGGACUACAGUUUAAAAAAGAUGCUUCUAUCCCUCCUUCAAGACGCUAUUGGCGUGAAUGAACAGCUUGAUGAGAAACCCGAUGAUGAACUAGCUGAUUGCUUGCAGAAAAGUCUCAAGAAAAGAAGGUAUUUGAUUGUUGUAGAUGACAUAUGGAGCAUAGAAGCCUGGGAAGAUAUCAGACAAUGGUUUCCAGAACAUAACAAUAGAAGCCGAAUACUGUUGACUACUCGGAUCACGGAGGUUGCUCGAGAUGCUAGCUCUCCUAAGAAGCCUUUUCAAAUGCGUUUCCUAGAUCCAGAUGAAAGUUGGAAUUUGUUUUGCCAAAAGGCGUUUGGCAAAAAUGAUUGUCCAGCUGAAUUUGAGAAUGUCGGAAAGGUAAUUGCAGGAAAUUGCAACGGAUUACCACUAAUGAUUUCUGUGGUUGCAGGGUCUCUUUCUAGCGAGAAGAUGCUGCGCAAGUGGCAUGAAGUAGCUCAAAGUGUAAGCUCAUUAGUAAACCUUGAUGAAUAUCAACGUUGCUCAGGAGUGCUCGCUUUGAGCUACAAUCAUCUUCCUUCCCACUUGAAAGCUUGCUUUCUGUAUUUCGGAGUUUUCAAAAAAGCUAGUGAAAUUUCUGUGGAAAACUUGAUUAGAUUAUGGAUGGCAGAAGGACUCUUUAAGCUGAGGGGGAUUGGGGAAUUGGAAAAAGAAGCUUCUAGUCUACUACAUGAUCUUAUUGAUAAAAGUCUAAUUGUUGCUUGCAAGCAUAGUUUGGAUGGCAAAAUCAAGACAUGUAGGAUUCAUGAUCUUCUCCAUGAUUUAUGCUUGAGUGAAUCGGAAAGUGAGAAUCUUUUGUAUGUUUCAAAUCCCCCAACCAAUGUUCGUCAACAUCGUCGGUGGGUUUCAUUUCAUCAAAAGCCGAUGCAAGAUUAUUUUCCUCUUCCCUUCCCUACUUAUGGUAAAACACGUUCUCUUCAUUUUCUUGAGGUAAAACCGUCUUAUUUUAGAUAUGAAUUAGGAUUAGACCGUUUCAAACUUCUUAGAGUAUUGGACUUACUGGGAUUGGGCCUGAUACAUUUCCCUAAGGGAUUAUCAAACCUAGUUUCCUUAAGGUAUUUGAGGGCUGGGUUCAUCAGUGGAUAUCUACCAAUUUAUAAACUUCAGAAUUUACAAUUUCUUAGUUUUCGUGAUGUUUAUAAGUAUACACCCGUUGAUCUUUGCUUACCAGAUGGAACCUGGAAAAUGUCUCAAUUGAGGCAUCUCGACUCUGCAUUUUUUUAUUUGUGUCCUCCUCCAAAGGUAUCUGGCAAUAAGUACCGGGUUUUGGAACACUUGCAAAGCGUUCAUGGGCUGAGACCUGAAUGUUGCACAAAAGAAAUGUUUGAAGGGAUUAAAAAGGUGAAAAAAUUGGGGAUUUGUGGCCGGGCUAGUCACUUCAAGGAUGCGCCAAAAAAAUUCCUAAAUAAUCUUAUAUAUUUACCUGAGCUAGAAGCACUUAGAAUCUCAUUAUACGACCGUUCCAGCAGUGAUUUCCUUCUUAGGCAGCCAGUUCCAUGUGUGGGUUCUUUCCCACCGAAUCUCAAGAAGCUGACACUUCAAGGAACUCGUCUAUUAUGGUCGCAACUGACAGUCAUUAGCAAGUUGCCCAACCUCGAGGUGCUCAAAUUGAAGGCAUUAAAGUUGUUUGGAAAUGAGCUUGGAGAAACUGCCUGGGAAGUAUCAAAGAUUGAAUUUCCUAAACUGAAAUUCUUGCUCAUAGAGAAGAAGGGUCUUGAAUACUGGACGGCCGAAGAUGAUUCUUUCCCAUGCCUUGAGCGCGUAAUUAUCAAAAACUGUCCUUCCUUACAAAAGAUCCCUCAAGGGUUUGCAGAUAGUAUGACACUGCAGCUAAUUGAGUUACGGGGAUGUUCUACUUCCCUCGUGAAUUUCGCUAGGGAGAUCCAAGAAGAGCAACAACAGCGUUUGGGAAACAACAUACUUCAAGUUUAUGCCUAUGACAUAAUUACAGGUAAGUGGAAUGAUUCUUCAUCAUCCAUCCAUUAUAUGUUUUACCAGUAAUUGACCUGAUGAUUUUGAUUCAAAAUUUUAUGUGCAUAACUACUAGUAUAUCUUUUGAUUGUAAUAAGAUAGGUAAAAUUGAAUAUUUCAUAUGUAUAGACUCUGUAAAAGUGGAAGGGGGAGGAUGGAAUUCAUUAGAUUGAAUAAGUUGAUUACAUCUCUCUUACAUCUUGAGAGGCCUAGUUUAGUCCAUUAUAUUGUUGGGACAUUUGGUUAUAGAAAUUUGUUGGAAAUGAAGACACUUUUGAAAGAGUAGCAUGCCAAUUAUUGCAAAAAAAAUGUGCCCUUACAUCUAUGAUAAGCGUACUGGGGAGAUGUGAUUAGACAGAACAUGGUGCAGCUUCAGCUUAUCGAGGAUAUGACCUUAAAUCGGAGGGUGUAGAAGUCAUGGAUUAGGGUAGAAGGUUAGUAGUGUAGUGUUCUCUUGCUUCGGAAGGGUUUAGGCUUAGUGGUGUACGGUGUCUGUCGUAGUAUUUGUUUUAUUCUUGUAAUGUCUUGCUUUUGCUUUCUAUCACCAUCUGUUUUUGUUAUGGUGUUUCAAUUAUUGCAUUAUUUUGUUCUUAUUACUGUUUUCUUCCGUAUUAGUUGCUUCACUGUCUAUUUUAUACGUACUUUGAUUUGUUGUACUCGAGUCGAGAGUCUUCAAGAAACAGUCUCUCUACCUCCACGAGGUAGUGG